rnacentral:lncRNA from 1 species
UGUUUGGGUGCUUUGAAGAUCUGUUUUAAAGAAACUUUUCUGGGAAAGGAAAGAGAGUCAGGCAGUACCAACUUUUUCAUGAGAGCUGUAGAAUGGUUUCAAAUAAGCCAAUUCAGAUUUAUCUCUGUCUCCUUUAAUGGUAUCAUCCACAGCUGGAGAUCCCCUUGCACAAUUACCUGCUUCACUUUCAGUUUACCUUCCUCUUGUCUGGAAGAACAGAGAAUUCUUGCAAUAGAAGCUUUGUGAUAUCACAACCUGCAAACCUGGGGACUUACUGGAAAAAUGUGAGACUCACACACCUGGCCAGAGUACGUAAGUAGCAGAAAGUGAUGAUGGUGAGCUUCUAUGGACAUUAGUGCCUGACAUCCCAGUACUGUGGUAGUAUUCACACACUUGGUUCCCACACUGUC